AAAUCCCUAAACCCUAAAUUGCAAAUUCGAAGAAGCCCUUUUCCUAGUCUCCUUCCUCAAAUACAGUGUGAUUCUGUGCAAGUGAAAUCCAUUUCAUGGAAUCCGGCUAUGUCAAGGAUUUUCUUGCUGGGUAUUGACGAGGAACAACCGAACAACAAAAGAAAAGAAAGCUCCACUGCUUGGUUAUAGCCAGCAAGAAGAACCACCACCGAAUCUUCCCUCUAGGGCUCACCACCGAAUCACUCUCUCAUUUCAGGCUUUGACGCUUUGCAAGUGGAAAUUUUAGUCUCAACUUCUGCAGCAACUUAUCACUUGAUCUAUUACAUUGGAGGUUGAUUAAAGAAUAAUGUCUGGUCAAAUCGGUUCUAAUUCGGAGGAUGAUGUUGAUUUUGUGCCAUCAACUAAUGUUGAAGAAAUACAAUCUGUUAGUAAUACAUUAGAUGAACAUCAGAAUACAGGGAGAAAAAGAACUUCUCGUGCUUGGGAUCAUUUUACUCGACAAGAAAUUGAUGGUAAAAUUAAAGCGGUUUGUAAUCACUGCGGGCGUAAGUUGGUGGGAGGAAGUACUGCGGGGACUACGCAUUUAAAUACUCACGUGAAGAGGUGUCCAGUUAGAAAGGCCCAACUUGCUGCUAAUCCAACUACAAGUCCUUCAAUUCCUUUCAAUUUUGAUCCUGAUUUAGCAAGGAUCAAAUUGGCUCAAAUGAUCGUUAAGCAUGAGUAUCCAUUGUCCAUGGUUGAGCAUAGCGGGUUCAUCGAAUAUUCAAGUACUCUAUGUCCUACAUUUCAAAUGGUGUCAAGGAAUACAAUUAGGUCUGACAUCAUGAAAAUGUAUAAAGCUGAGAAAGAAAAAUGUAGGCAAAGUUUGGAAAAAAGUAGGAGUAGAAUAGCCA